GGGGGCGACCGGUUUCGACGGGAUAAGAUCGUUGUUAAACUGCAUGCGGAGAUCCCGGAAUUCUCCUAAAUCAUCCGGACAUUCAUACAUGCCGAUUACGGCUACAUGGCUGCAGCUUAAGACUGUGGCUCGUCCUUUAUCCGAUUUGUCUGUGGUUAGGUAAAAGGGCGUCGAUCACACAGACUGGUUAUUGUUUUUGCCCUAAAACAAUAGUGAGACUUUAAGGGCUGGUUCCGCUGACUGUCAGUCCCUGGCCAUAUGCGGAAUAAGAUCUUGCCAGGAGACUAAGCAUGUAGGUGUUUUUCAAGGGUUUAUUUCGGACGGGAGUUCGAAUCUCCCCGCCUCCACUU
rnacentral:tmRNA from 1 species